UACGUAGGGGGCAAGCGUUGUCCGGAUUCAUUGGGCGUAAAGAGCGUGUAGGCGGCCAGGGAGGUCCGUUGUGAAAACUCGAGGCUCAACCUCGAGACGCCGAUGGAAACCCCCUGGCUAGAGUCCGGAAGAGGAGAAUGGAAUUCCUGGUGUAGCGGUGAAAUGCGCAGAUAUCAGGAAGAACACCCGUGGCUAAGGCGGUUCUCUAGUACGGUACUGACGCUGAGACGCGAAAGCGUGGGGAGCGAACAGG
rnacentral:rRNA from 1 species